rnacentral:tRNA from 1 species
AGGGGCGUAGUUCAAUAGGUAGAGCACCGGUCUCCAGAUCCGGGUGUUGGGAGUUCGAGCCUCUCCGCCCCUG